UUUGUUUUAUUCUUUUUGUUGAUGAUUUAUGUUCUUGAUUGUGUUUUCGUGUUUGGACUUUUGACUAAUUUGUAGAUCAUCUAUAUAGGUUUCAUUUUAUGUUAAUUAACAGCCUUUCCAGAAUGUUUUUCAGUGACCCUUUUACCUUAUGAACAUGGAGCAAACUGAGGGAGGGAUGAGAAGUGAAAUUGAUGAUUUAUGUUUUGAUGUCACUUCGAUGAUGAUGAUGAUGAUGAUGAUGAUGAUGAUGAUGAUGAUGAUAGUAACCCUUUCACAAUUAUUUCUCUCUUAUUAUUCCUUUUCAGAUAUGACAUAGAUAGAUGCUUUCUAUAUCAAAAUGGGUAAGGAAAAAGGGUAAGAGGUUUAUUUUUUAUGCUUUCUAUAUGGGUAAGUCAAAGGGUUUCCUUUCAAUUGUUAUUUUAUUUUAUUAUGAAAUUGUGACGUGAUGAUCUGUUGGGGAGGGAGAAGGAAAACAUCUCAGGUAGGUAUAAAGUUUUUACUGGUGAUUCAUUGCCGCUUCCUCCUUCUCAGGCUGGUUAGUUUUCAAUUGCAUUUCUAUAAAGUUUUAAACUUUCUUGUUUUUAGGUUAUAAAAAUUGAUGCUUUAUUAUGUGGUUUUAAUUUGGCCAAUUUAAUUUAUCUAUUUUUUGUUUCAGAAAAUGUUGGGUUUUGUUUAUUUGUUGUAUUCUUUUUGUUGAUGAUUUAUGUUCUUGAUUGUGUUUUGGUGGUUGGACUUUUGACUAAUUUGUAGGUGAUCUAUAGGUUUCAUUUUUUGGAGGUAGGUAUGUAAUUUUUUUUAUCGGGUUUGCGGAGGUUUGACACCGCCCGCCAAUGGAUGGUACUAACCAAACAAAACUUUCGUCAAGUUCUUCCUAGUUUCGACUGUUUCAGCUUUGACUGAGUUUCUAUUUUCUUUUAUUAUGCAAUUGUGAUUAAUGAUNNNNNNNNNNNNNNNNNNNNNNNNGAGCAGAAGAUACUAUAAGAGGCUGAAAGGGUAAUCAUAUCGGAAACAGAUCUUCCUCGUGACUUAGGUAUUUAGUUCUUCCUCAUGAUUUAGUCCUUUAAUUUGUAUUUCUUACUGGCUUUGAUUUAAUGUUUUUAGGUUGCUUCAGAUUUUAAACAAGUCUUGGGUACAUUCAGAAUUUUAAUUAAGCUAGGGAGUGAUUCGAUUGGAGCCCAUAUGAUCUCUAUGCCUUCAAGUAUUAACAAGGAUUAUGUUCCAGGACUAACCUUUUUAAUGGUUAUAUAGAAUAUGUAGGCAAGCUAUAAUCCUUGACUUAUAGAAAUUAAGAGUCUGUUGAUGAGAGGUACCAUUAUGAGAAUUCGUUGAGAUUCAUUGAUCAAAUUCCCCUUUGAAACUUUUUCCUUCAAUCCCUUUGAGGUACAAAUAUGUAUAUUAUCGAUGCUAAAGGAAAAUAGUAGUCGAAAAUAUCUCUAGUUAGUAUCUAGUUCCGGAGCAAAACUCCAACCCAGAGAAAUAUCUAUCUCUGAUCCUAACAGAAAAUAAUUCCAUCAUACCCUCCUUCAUUCCCUUAUUCUUAGUCACAUUCCCAUCAUUACGUGCCUAAUAUUUGUCAAAAAUUAUCAAGUGUAGGACAGUUGCUUGAAAAGGGUUCAUAAAUCAUCUUUAAGAAUAAUAUGUGUGUGCUUAAAUCUUUCGUCAAGUUCUUCCUAGUUUUGACUGUUUCAGCUUUGACCGAGUUUCUAUUUUCUUUUAUUAUGCAAUUGUGAUUGAUGAUAUGUUGGAGAGAAGAUGUAUUUUUUUUUACCGAUAUUAUUUUGUUUUUGUUUGAAUCCAUAACUACCUUGAUUGUCAGAGUCAAUGCAGGUACUACAGCUUGUGUAGGAUAAAAAUCAGUCUCGUCUCUUCAGGUCAUUAGAGGUAGUAUUAGUAGUGGAAAGUGCAUCAGUUUUUAUAUGGAUUUGUGUCUGGUUGCCUUCUCUUAUGUUCAUUUUUGUUGCUCACUUUCUUUUGAAAACAAAAAACAGAAAGGAGCAGAAUAUACUAUAAGAGGCUGAGAGGGUAAUCAUAUCUGAAACAGUUCUAGUUAUCGUUAUUGAAGUUCUCAAUGGGAUACAUUGCUUACCUAUGUUCUAGCUUCAAAAUAUCAUGUCCUUUUAUGUCAAACCUGUAUGACUUAGGUAUUUAGUUCUUCCUCGUUCUUCCCCAUGACUUAGGUAUUUAGUUCUUCCUCAUGAUUCAGUCCUUGAAUUUGUAUUUCUUACUGGCAUUGAUUUAAUGUUUUUAGGUUGCAUCAGAUUUUAAACAAGUCUGGGAUACAUUCGUAUUUUUUAUUAAGCUACGGAGUGAUUCGAUUGGAGCCUGUGUGAUCUCUAUGCCCUCAAGUAUUAACAAGGAUUAUGUUCCAGCACUAACCUUUUUAAUUGUUAUAUAGAAUAUGUAGGCAAGCAGCUUGUUAAUACUUGACUUAUAGAGAUUAAGAGUGUCUUGAUGAGAGGUGCAAAUAUGAGAGUUUGCAUGCUCAGAUUCAUUGAUCAACUUCUGCUCUGAGCCCUUUUUCUUUAAUCCCUUUGAGGUACAAAUAUGUAUAUUAUGGUAAAGAAAAAUAGUAGUAGAACAUCUCUCUAUUAGUAGCUUCUUCCAGAGGAAAGGUCCAGAGAAAUAUCUAUCUCUGGCCCUAACAGCAAAUAAUUCCAUCAUACCCUCUCUCUGGCCUAAUAUUUGUCAAAACUUAUUAAGUGUAGGAAGUUACUUGAAAAAGGGGUCAUACAUUAUCUUUAAGAAUAGUAUGUGUGUGAUUAAAUCUGCUGAUGCCUAAGAAUUGUUCAGCAUACCGAUGAAGGUUAAAAGAUUUUCAUUAUAGUUUGUUGCAAUGUGAGGAAGCUGCUGUUCUAAAAUCAAUUUCUGAUACUGAACGUUUAUUUUUUGGAAAUCAUUUCUGAUACUGAAGUUUGGCACUAGAGGAUGUGCCAUUUUUAUCAGGCAGAGAAGGUUGCAGUUGAUACAUACAGAUCUUGAGCAUAUAUUACAUACUCUUCAUGUAUGAAUUUACAAGGGUAUGCUGGAUUUAAUUUUUGAAGUAUGCUGGAUUUAAUUUUUGAAAUUUCAAGUUGCUGAUAUUUUAUGUAAAUUCAAAAAUUGGGUUGAAAAUCAGAGUGGAUGUAAAAUUCAAGUGUUAAAGAUCAGGUAAUGGAAUUUAAUACACCUAAAAAAUUCAAUUUGCUGUGUGAAGAGUGUGAAAUUACAUAUCAACUCACUGCUCAAUACUCAUUGCAGCAGAAUAGUGCCAGUAGAAGGAAGAAAAUAGGACCCUGUUGGAAAUGGCUCGAUACUUGCUAUACGAGAAAAAUACGCGUAAGAAAUUUUGUGCAGAUGCUGCAAGCACUACAAUGACUGAUAUUGGAGAGACGUCAUAUUUCUUGGGAAUGUAGGCUUAAGCAAUCAGAUACAGGAAUCCUUAUAUGUCGAUAGAUAUAUGCUGCUGAUGAGAUCCUAAAGAAGUUCAACAUGAGCAAAAGCAAGCCCAUGAUGAGAAUGAGAAGCUUAGCAAAGAAAAUGGGUCUAGAAGAGUUGAAGAAGCAUACAGAAGUUUAGUUAAUGUGCCUUACGUCAGGCUGUUAGUGUCCUUUCAAGAUUUCUGCGUUAUGCUAGUGAGGAACUUCUCAAGGCAGCAAAGAGUGUUAAGAUAUAUUAUCAAUGUAAUUACAAUAUAUUCAUGGUUUCUCAGAUAGGGAUUGGGUUGGAUCUAUUGAUUAUAUGCAAAGCACCUCUGGCUACUGUUUUUCAUUUGGUUCUGGAAUGUAUUCAUGGUGCUAAGAAGAGAAAGAAAUUGAUGCUCAAUUGACGGCGGCAGAGGGUGAGUUUCUAGCAGCAGCUGAAGCAGUUAACCAAGCCUUNNNNNNNNNNNNAUUGGAUUAGGAUUUCAUGGGAUUUUAAAAGACUUUUUUAUUUUAAAAAAGUCAUGUGGUAUUC
rnacentral:lncRNA from 1 species